rnacentral:rRNA from 1 species
GUAGCGUAUAUUAAAGUUGUUGCAGUUAAAAAGCUCGUAGUCGAACUUCGGAUCUGGCGGGAUGGUCCGCCUUACGGUGUGUACUGUCCGGCCGGAUCUUACCUCUUGGUGAAGCCGUAUGCCCUUUACUGGGUGUGCGGUGGAACCAGGAAUUUUACUUUGAGAAAAUUAGAGUGUUCAAAGCAGGCAUACGCCCGAAUACAUUAGCAUGGAAUAAUAAAAUAGGACGUGCGGUUCUAUUUUGUUGGUUUCUAGAGUCGCCGUAAUGAUUAAUAGGGAUAGUUGGGGGCAUUUGUAUUGCGUUGCUAGAGGUGAAAUUCUGGGAUUUACGCAAGACAAACUAUUG